AGCUGAAUAUGAUUCUUUUACUUCAUUUGUAACCGCAAAUUCAACUUUCUGAUACCUUGUGAACCACUGAAGAUCCUUAUUGCAAGCAUUGAAGUGAUUGAAGAGUUUGCUAAGAGUCCAUGUUUGGAGCACUACAAGAACCUUGGAGCAACUUAACAUUUCGAAUAAGAUGUAGUAGGAGCAUAUAGAGCUUGGGUUGUGUUCUCUCUAUAGAAAAACGUUCUACUCUUAAUUUCCCUUAAUACUGGAUAUAUGAUGUAGUAAACUAAAUUCUUGAGUAAAUAAAAAAAUAUUUAAGUACUAA